rnacentral:rRNA from 1 species
UAGUUGGUGGGGUAAAGGCCUACCAAGGCGACGAUCUGUAGCGGGUCUGAGAGGAUGAUCCGCCACACUGGAACUGAGACACGGUCCAGACUCCUACGGGAGGCAGCAGUGGGGAAUUUUGGACAAUGGGGGCAACCCUGAUCCAGCCAUGCCGCGUGAGUGAAGAAGGCCUUCGGGUUGUAAAGCUCUUUCGUCCGGGAAGAAAUCGCACAGGCUAAUACUCUGUGUGGAUGACGGUACCGGAAUAAGAAGCACCGGCUAACUACGUGCCAGCAGCCGCGGUAAUACGUAGGGUGCGAGCGUUAAUCGGAAUUACUGGGCGUAAAGCGUGCGCAGGCGGUUUUGUAAGACAGGCGUGAAAUCCCCGGGCUCAACCUGGGAACUGCGCUUGUGACUGCAAGGCUAGAGUACGGCAGAGGGGGGUGGAAUUCCACGUGUAGCAGUGAAAUGCGUAGAGAUGUGGAGGAACACCGAUGGCGAAGGCAGCCCCCUGGGCCGAUACUGACGCUCAUGCACGAAAGCGUGGGUAGCAAACAGGAUUAGAUACCCUGGUAGUCCACGCCCUAAACGAUGUCAACUAGGUGUUGGGUGGGUAAAACCAUUUAGUACCGUAGCUAACGCGUGAAGUUGACCGCCUGGGGAGUACGGCCGCAAGGUUAAAACUCAAAGGAAUUGACGGGGACCCGCACAAGCGGUGGAUGAUGUGGAUUAAUUCGAUGCAACGCGAAAAACCUUACCUACCCUUGACAUGUCCGGAAUCCCUGAGAGAUUGGGGAGUGCCCGAAAGGGAAUCGGAACACAGGUGCUGCAUGGCUGUCGUCAGCUCGUGUCGUGAGAUGUUGGGUUAAGUCCCGCAACGAGCGCAACCCUUGUCGUUAAUUGCCAUCAUUAAGUUGGGCACUUUAGCGAGACUGCCGG